AAAUGCAUCUAUUUUCCAAAAUACACUAAAGGCACCAGAUCGCAUCUGAUCUUGGAAGCUACGCAGCAUCAGACCUGGUUAGGACUUAAAUGGGAGACCCCUGUGAUCACCAGGUGCUACAUUUU
rnacentral:rRNA from 1 species